rnacentral:lncRNA from 1 species
GAUUAUUCUUGCUGCAGCAGUUUCCAGUCCUGGGUAGCAUCACUUUCAUCGCUAGGAUUUUUGAAAUGCAGCAGCUACUUCCAUGACCCGUCUCAUGCGUUCUUAUUUUCACGCUCCAGAUCUAAAAGAGCUAUCACUUUCUGCAGUGGGUGAAACCAGGGGCAACCCAGCCACGGUUAUUUCUGCUGCCUGUUGCUUAACUUCUAGGCUGCUGGGUCUUCAUAAAAAUAGCCCUGUCAGACCAAAUACCAUGAUGUCACAGUGAAGAGCUACAGAUUGCCUACCGGCCUGCUUUGUACAUCUUUGAUCUUAAUUAACCAAAUCACAGUUAUCAUUAUAAAAACAACCACAGUAGCAGGUGGACUUGAAUUGGCAGGUCGUAGGUCCUUGUCCUCAGAGUCCCCUCCUGCAGUUUUACAAGCAUGUUGUCGUCACGCAGGUUAGAAAUGCUUGGUAUUCCUCUGUUAAUACUCGCUUUACAGUAGCAUUUGCUAACUGCUAUGUUUAUUUAUAGAGUUUAAUGCCAAGUUUCCAUCUAAUAGCUUGGAGCUAUGGAUCGCUAAAAAAAUCUUAUCUUGUUCCAUAAAUAACAUAGAGAAUGACUUGCAUUUGUAGCUUAGUGUUGAUAACAUGCCAUAUAGUGCUACAUUUUCAAGAAACAGCUAACAAUAAUAAUGAGGAAAUGUGCCUGUUGAUAAGUUUCAUAUGAAUUUCCACAGAAAACUGACUGAAUGUUAACAAUUCAGCCAUUAACAAACGAUCCUUGCUGGAAUUUGUAAUGCAAGUAUUUAAAAAUGUUUGCCCACUUUUAAUUUCGGUAACUUUAUUUUUCUGCGUUAUCUUCGAAUAUACUUUUUUUAUAGUGAUACAAAGAACGUCUGUCUAAAAAAACCAUACCAGUAGGAGUAUGUCUAGAAUAUUAUAAAUGGC